rnacentral:rRNA from 1 species
UACGUAGGUGGCAAGCGUUGUCCGGAUUUACUGGGCGUAAAGAGCGCGCAGGCGGUCGUUCAAGUCGCGUGUGAAAGCCCCCGGCUCAACUGGGGAGGGUCACGCGAUACUGAUCGACUCGAAGGCAGGAGAGGGUAGUGGAAUUCCCGGUGUAGUGGUGAAAUGCGUAGAUAUCAGGAGGAACACCGGUGGUGUAGACGGCUCACUGGACCGUAACUGACGCUGAGACACGAAAGCGUGGGUAGCAAACAGG